GCUUAGCAGUAAACCCAGGCCACUACUACAACUACCCGCCCCGCCAGAGAACUACAAGUGAAAAACUUAAAACUCAAAGGACUUGACGGUGUCUCACAUCACCCUAGAGGAGCCUGUUCUAUAAUCGAUAACCCACGCUCCACCCGAACCUGCCCUAGAACUACAAGCCCAGUCUAUAUACCGCCGCCUUCAGCCCACCUUAUGAAAGAACCACAGUGAGCCCAACAGCCACCGCUAACACGUCAGGUCAAGGUGUAGCUAAUGGGCAGGAAGAGAUGGGCUACAUUUUCUAUGCAUAGAAACCAAAAACCUCAUGAACCAGAUGUCAAAAGCCGGAUUUAGUAGUAAACCGAGCAAAUCUGCUCGCUUGAACCGUGCCCUGAGACACGU
rnacentral:rRNA from 1 species